rnacentral:sRNA from 1 species
AGUUCUUUUUCCAGCUGGCAACGUUUAAGGAAUGCUGCCUCAAAUGUAUAGGUUUUGCCUCCUGUGCCCUUGCCACAAAAGGUUUCCGGAGCCUCAGGGUCUCCCUCCCGCCCUCAGGUGGUGUCUGUGCUGUGCUGCUUUGGUCUCUGGAUCCCUCGUUCCCUGGUGCUGGUGGAAAUGACCAUCACCUCGUUUUAUGCCGUGUGCUUUUACCUGCUGAUGCUGGUCAUGGUAGAAGGCUUUGGGGGGAAGGAGGCAGUGCUGAGGACACUGAGGGACACCCCGAUGAUGGUCCACACAGGCCCCUGCUGCUGCUGCUGCCCCUGCUGUCCGCAGCUGCUGCUCACCAGGAAGAAGCUUCAGCUGCUGAUGUUGGGCCCUUUCCAAUACGCCUUCUUGAAGAUAACGCUGACCCUGGUGGGCCUGUUUCUCAUCCCCGACGGCAUCUAUGACCCAGCAGACAUUUCUGAGGGGAGCACAGCUCUAUGGAUCAACACUUUCCUCGGCGUGUCCACACUGCUGGCUCUCUGGACCCUGGGCAUCGUUUCCCGUCAAGCCAGGCGACACCUGAGUGAGCAGAGCAUGGGAGCCAAAUUUGCUCUGUUCCAGGUUCUCCUCAUCCUGACUGCCCUACAGCCCUCCAUCUUCUCAGUCUUGGCCAACGGCGGGCAGAUUGCUUGUUCGCCUCCCUAUUCCUCUAAAACCAGGUCUCAAGGUGAGCACGUUAAGCCUCCUGUCCCAUCGUGGGAUGGAUGAGACGGGGAGAGUCAGGAAAGAAGGGGCCCCAGAACAGACAUUAGGCCAGCCUGACUUCUGCUCAGAGUGUUCAGAAGGGAUCUUUGGGAAAUCCCAACAGAGGCUUUAAGGAAACUAUGACCUCUCUGAUCACACAGAAGAGAAGUGAAACCCCACAGCUUGAGGCCAGCCCUGAGGGCCAACCCAGGAAGCCAUGGGUUCAGUCCUCAGCUCCUGGGAGAGGAAUGGGAAUGGUUAAAAACCAGAAGCCCAUGUUGAUUGAACACACAUAAGAAAUGGACUUUAAUGCCAGCCUCAGAGCACAGAAGUAGACAGCCAAGUUCCGGUUCUGGCUCUACCAUUAACCCGCUGUGUUAUUUAUGACAAUUUUGUAUCCCUAAGUCCUAGUUUGGGGAUAAGCUGGAGAAAGUGUUGCUCAACUCCUGUGCCA